CACACUUCCUUUCUAAAGCACUGGAGCGUGAGACUGCGCAGGAGAAAGCACCUCAAGAAGGCCAUCAGACAGUGCCAGUUCCUGGGGAAAACACCAGGGCCUUUCACACCACAGGUCCAAAGUAUCAAGAUGGAAGGGGACAAUCUUCCAUAGAGACAUCCAAAGUGCUACAUGAAAUCCUGAGGGAGCUGAAGAUGAUACUCGGAGGUGUGAACAGCCUGAGCCUCAACAGCGCUGUCAGCAGGAGAUCCACCAGUGCUGGAAACAGCAGGGCAGACCCAAACGCUGUGGAUAACGGAGAAGACCCAAACGCUGUGG